UAUUCGCCGGAGAUGGCAAGUAAAAUAGUGGUCCUGUGCGCAAUACUACAUAAUAUCGCGGUAAGGAGUAGUGUAGAGCUUCCUCAGGCAGAGGAAUUGCCUGAUGAGGAGCCAGGGGUUGGUCCACGCUUCGGUGGGGGGAGUGUGACACGGAGGGGGAGCCAAGUGAGGGCAAGAAUUGUUGCAGAAUAUUUCAGCUGAAUGAUCACACGAACUGUGGACAACAACAACGGCAAAACUCACCACCCCCUUCCCCUUCCCACUCCCCCUCACCUUCACACUCCCCCUCCCCUUCUCACUCCCCCUCCCCUUCUCACUCCCCCUCCCCUUCACAGUCCCCCUCAGCUUCCCAGUCCCCCUCAGCUUCCCAGUCCCCCUCAGCUUCCCAGUCCACCUCAUCUUCCCAGUCCACCUCAGCUUCCCAGGCCCCAUCAGCUUCCCUGGCCCACUCCACUUUCCAUUCCCCUUCUCACCACACCUCUCCAUCUCUAUCUGGGACCCCUUCUCCUCCUUCCCAUACCCCUUCUCCUUCUAAUUCUACAUCCCAAUCUGAACCCCCCACACCCUCUAUUGCCUUAACUUUCUCUCCGCCCCCCUCGCCCUCUCAAUCAGACCCCCCCUCUGAAAUUGGCAACCAAAUCCAGCCUCCUUCCCCCAUCCAGCCUCCUGCCCCAAUCCCUCCUCCUUCCCCAAUCCCUCCUCCUUCCCCAAUCCCUCCUCCUUCCCCAAUCCCUCCUCCUUCCCCCAUCCAGCCACCUUCCCCCAUCCAGCCAACAUCCCCACCCAGUGAAUGGGCAGAGGAAGCCCCUGCAGACCGGUCCGGGAGUCUUGAGGUUGCCGUGGAAAAUGUUGCAGUUGGAGAUCCAACAAGUUUAUCCGGGAUUCUUUACACCAUGCGCCUACACCUGCAAGGAAUAAUGAAUUGUGUUGACCA